GGGCACUUGGUGUAGAUGGUUAUCACGCUCGCUUAGCAUCGCAGUUUGCGAGAGGGGACCGGUUCAAUUCCGGUAGUGUCCA
rnacentral:tRNA from 1 species